ACGUAGGGGGCAAGCGUUAUCCGGAUUUACUGGGUGUAAAGGGAGCGUAGACGGCAUGGCAAGCCAGAUGUGAAAGCCCGGGGCUCAACCCCGGGACUGCAUUUGGAACUGUCAAGCUAGAGUGUCGGAGAGGAAAGCGGAAUUCCUAGUGUAGCGGUGAAAUGCGUAGAUAUUAGGAGGAACACCAGUGGCGAAGGCGGCUUUCUGGACGAUGACUGACGUUGAGGCUCGAAAGCGUGGGGAGCAAACAG
rnacentral:rRNA from 1 species